rnacentral:rRNA from 1 species
GAGUUUGAUCCUGGCUCAGGAUGAAUGCUAGCGGCAGGCUUAACACAUGCAAGUCGAGGGGUAUAGGUUUUCGGACCUAGAGACCGGCGCACGGGUGCGUAACGCGUAUGCAAUCUACCUUUUACGGAGGGAUAGCCCAGAGAAAUUUGGAUUAAUACCUCAUAGUAUUAUGAAAAGGCAUCUUUUUAUAAUUAAAGUUCCAACGGUAAAGGAUGAGCAUGCGUCCCAUUAGCUAGAUGGUAAGGUAACGGCUUACCAUGGCGACGAUGGGUAGGGGUCCUGAGAGGGAGAUCCCCCACACUGGUACUGAGACACGGACCAGACUCCUACGGGAGGCAGCAGUGAGGAAUAUUGGUCAAUGGGCGCAAGCCUGAACCAGCCAUGCCGCGUGCAGGAUGACGGUCCUAUGGAUUGUAAACUGCUUUUUGUACGGGAAGAAACACUGGAACGUGUUCCAGCUUGACGGUCCGUAAGAAUAAGGAUCGGCUAAACUCCGUGCCAGCAG